GAUUAGGUAGUUGGUAGGGUAAUAGCCUACCAAGCCUUUGAUCUUUAGCUGUACUGAGAGGUUGGUCAGCCACACUGGGACUGAGACAAGGCCCAGGCUUCCUUCGAAGCCAGCAGUGAGGAAUUUUGGACAAUGAGCGAAAGCUUGGUCCAGCAAUACUCCAUGAAUGAUGACAGCUUUCAAGUUGUAAAAUUCUUUGGUUGAUGAGGAUUAUGACAGUAAUCAACUGAAUAGCCCCGGCUAACUUCGUGCCAGCAGCCGCGGUAAGACGAAGGGGGCGAGCGUUAUCCGGAAUGACUGGGCGUAAAGGGUCCGUAGGUUGUAUUUUUUGUUAAAGGUGAAAAAUUAAAGCUUAACUUUUUUUAAGCCUUUAAAACGUUUAGACUUUGAGUUUGAAAGAGGAUAGCAGAAUUUCACAUGGAGGGGUGAUAUCCUUAGAUAUGUGAAGGAAUACCAGAGGCGAAGGCGGUUAUCUAGUUCAAUACUGACACUGAGGGACGAAAGCAUGGGUAGCAAACAGG
rnacentral:rRNA from 1 species